UACGAACUGCCCUAGAGAAAAGGUGGUCUCAGCCAAGCACUCAGUAUAAAGAAGAGACAGAAAAAAUUGUUUUUUCCUCCUCUGUACUUUCUGGGGACCAGGAUGAGAACUCACUGGGGCACCCCACCUGGAACCUGCAGAUGACGUUCUGGGAAAACUGGUAGUCUGCAAAGGAUAAGAAUAAAUAACAAACUCAGCUCUCCCAGAUUUCUACUUGUGGUACCCAGUAGAGAGAAGGGAUGAAGCACACAUGAGUUAUCCAACAUUAGUGUGUGUGCAUCAUAUUAAAAGGAUGCUUGUUGCCUGAUACAGUGGCUCAUUGGAAAGUAAACUCCAGGCAACCAGGCACAAGUGAAAAACCAAGCAACCAUCAGUCUCAGAAAGUACAGACUGGCCUCCUUAUGUCCCAUUGGUUUUCCUGCUGAUGCGGCAUUCUGUAUGUUCCCCAUGGAUGCCCAGAGGGAAGGCACAGCCUUCAGAAGAUUAUUAGAGUCUCAAUUUGAGGACUAAUUCCCUAAAGAGACAUGAAAAAUUCAACUAUGACUUCAAACAUGACUGCCCUCAGGAUGUAUGUUGGUGGAGCAUUAACUGAGGAGCCAAACUCACCCUUGGCCUGCAUCACUACCCAAGGAGAUAUGUGAACUGUGAGAAGGCAACCAGUGGAGAGGGAAAGAGCCCAGGAAGGAAAAACAUGAUGUACAACAGCUGAAAAGGAAUUACCCAACAAAGGACCAGGGGAUUUUAAUCGUUUGAUCGACUCCUGACAAUUGGAGGUUUGACAUGUUUGUUUUUAAGAAGUCACUAACUCUUUUUGCCUGAAUCAGAGGAACAUUCAUGUGGCUGUUAGUCAUUCUGAACUUGGUAAGGACCUGAAGCACAGGCUGAAGGGUAGGUCCCAGGUAUCAGUGACUGAGGUAUUUAGCAAGGUCCAGCAGGACUCUAACAGCAUCCACUGCACCUUCCUUAUAAGUGGGAACUAUUAUGUGACCGAAUUAUAUGUUUCAUUUUUUCUCACCUGUGGAAGAUGGUUGUGAAGAUAAUAAAGUAACAUUCACUGAGUACCAAGUGUUGAGUCUGCAAGGGUUGUGAGCAGUGGAUAAAUGUCAGCCAUUAUGAACAUCUCAAUCAUCCCUGACAAGUCCAGGAGGAAGGAAUUAAUGUAAUCUUGAUUUUAGAGAUGAGGAAAGAGAUUUAGAGAGAUUACUAAAUGACUUGCCCAUGUACCUAGGAAGCAGUGAAUCAGGUUUGGAGGCUUCUAAUCACUAGUCUACACUACCAGCACCAAGUGUAGAAUGCAGUAGAGAAAGGGCUAGCGUCCAACACACUGGAGUAGGUAAGCUACUCUCUUCUACUCUUCCAAAAUAUUUCAGAUAAACCAAAACAUUGAUCAUAGUGUAUCUACUGACUCACUGGAGCACAAAAGAGACUGUUUAAAAAUUCUAGUAGCUCUUUAUUAUAUUUUAUGAAGAAAAUGAUAUCCUUGCUGUAUUUAUGACUGUUAGAAUUCGCAAGGCCAAGGGUCUGUAUUAUUAGAUGGGAAAUCAGGGAAGAACAAAGUAUUUCAGUUCAGCAUCCUACACUUGGAAGUGACAAUGCAACAAAGAGAUGUAUUCAUUGGGGAGCUCAUCCUAUGAUUGCAAAUAUAAGCCAUACAAUUAAAAUGACCUGGCUGGCUUGGGUACAAAGACUAAAAUGAAACACAACUCUGCUUAACUGAUGAAAUUAGACUGCUGAGUUACAAUUUUUCAUGUCCUGCUAUUUAAAAAAAUCAAGUAAUAUUUUUCAAAGCUUCGAUGGUAACAUGGAAAAACCCAAUACAAUGCAAACAGAGAUUCAAAGAA